GGCUCGUUGGUCUAGGGGUAUGAUUCUCGCUUUGGGUGCGAAAGGUCCCGGGCUCAAGUCCCGGGUUCAAGUCCCGGAUGAGUCC
rnacentral:tRNA from 1 species